rnacentral:rRNA from 1 species
AAAUCCCGAAGUAGAAAGAGCUAAUUUAUUUUAAAUCAACGUGGUAAAGUUGUUACUAAGACUAAUUAGAGGUGAUAUGCUAUCCAAUUUCUGUAUAUCUGGUUUUGCCUAACCUAGUAUAAUUUGAUAGUAAACUAAAAGGUUUAUAAAAGUAUAUCGAAGGGGGAAGUUCUUCGAGGGUUUUUAUGUAUAUGUUUUAAUGUUAAUUUAAUAAUUAGCGCUGAAUAGGAUAAGAUUUUAUCUAAAUUAACUUGUUGGCAAUUUUUUAAACUUUUUAAAUAAAGCAAUAAUAAAUAUAUUAGUAGUAAAAUAUCUUUUUAAUAAUUAAACUUUAUAUAGUUUAUAUUUUUACAAGGGGGUAAAAGAACUCGGCAAAACUAGUUUCGCAUGUUUAACAAAAACAUCUUUUGAAAAUAUUUCAAGUAAUCUCUGCCCUAUGAAUAGUUUAAAUGGCCGCAGUAUUUUGACUGUGCAAAGGUAGCAUAAUCAUUUGCUUCUUAAUUAGGAGCUGGAAUGAAAGAGGUGACGAAAUCUAGACUUUUUUAGUACUUGACUAAUUUGACAUGGAGGUCAAAAGGCCUAAAUAUAUCAAAGGGACGAUAAGACCCUAUAAAACUUUACUUUUUGUUUUAGACGCGCUGGGCAGCUUACUAAAGGAUAAAGUUUUACUGGGGCGGUAUUAAUAAAAACAAUUAAAUAUGGAAUAUAAUAAAUAAAAAUAAAGAACUCUGGUGAGAAAUAGAACAAGUUACUUUAGGGAUAACAGCGUAAUUUUCUCAGAGAGUCCUAAUUGGCGAGAGAGUUUACGACCUCGAUGUUGAAUUGGGAUACCUUGUGUAAGCAAAAAUACACUAAGAUAGUCUGUUCGACUAUUAAAUUCCCACAUGAUUUGAGUUCAGACCGGCGUGAGCCAGGUUGGUUUCUAUCUUUUGGUUAUAUUAGAUCAAAAUUGUACGAAAGGACCUUUUGAU